UACGAAGGGAGCUAGCGUUGUUCGGAAUCACUGGGCGUAAAGCGCACGUAGGCGGACUUGUCAGUCAGGGGUGAAAUCCCGGGGCUCAACCUCGGAACUGCCUCUGAUACAGCAAGUCUCGAGUCCGGAAGAGGUGGGUGGAAUUCCUAGUGUAGAGGUGAAAUUCGUAGAUAUUAGGAAGAACACCGGUGGCGAAGGCGCCCACUGGUCCGGUACUGACGCUGAGGUGCGAAAGCGUGGGGAGCAAACGG
rnacentral:rRNA from 1 species